UAGGGAAUCUUCGGCAAUGGACGAAAGUCUGACCGAGCAACGCCGCGUGAGUGAAGAAGGUUUUCGGAUCGUAAAACUCUGUUGUUAGAGAAGAACAAGGACGUUAGUAACUGAACGUCCCCUGACGGUAUCUAACCAGAAAGCCACGGCUAACUACGUGCCAGCAGCCGCGGUAAUACGUAGGUGGCAAGCGUUGUCCGGAUUUAUUGGGCGUAAAGCGAGCGCAGGCGGUUUCUUAAGUCUGAUGUGAAAGCCCCCGGCUCAACCGGGGAGUGUCAUUAGAAACUGGGAGACUUGAGUGCAGAAGAGGAGAGUGGAAUUCCAUGUGUAGCGGUGAAAUGCGUAGAUAUAUGGAGGAACACCAGUGGCGAAGGCGGCUCUCUGGUCUGUAACUGACGCUGAGGCUCGAAAGCGUGGGGAGCAAACAGG
rnacentral:rRNA from 1 species